rnacentral:rRNA from 1 species
CGGCCCCUUGACGAAGACUGACGCUCAGGUGCGAAAGCGUGGGGAGCAAACAGGAUUAGAUACCUGGUAGUCACGCUGUAAACGAUGUCGAUUUGGAGGUUGUGCCCCUGAGGCGUGGCUUCCGGAGCUAACGCGUUAAAUCGACCGCUGGGGAGUACGGCCGCAAGGUUAAAACUCAAAUGAAUUGACGGGGGCCCGCACAAGCGGUGGAGCAUGUGGUUUAAUUCGAUGCAACGCGAAGAACCUUACCUACUCUUGACAUCCAGAGAACUUAGCAGAGAUGCUUUGGUGCCUUCGGGAACUCUGAGACAGGUGCUGCAUCGCUGUCGUCAGCUCGUGUUGUGAAAUGUUGGGUUAAGUCCCGCAACGAGCGCAACCCUUAUCCUUUGUUGCCAGCGGUUCGGCCGGGAACUCAAAGGAGACUGCCAGUGAUAAACUGGAGGAAGGUGGGGAUGACGUCAAGUCAUCAUGGCCCUUACGAGUAGGGCUACACACGUGCUACAAUGGCGUAUACAAAGAGAAGCGACCUCGCGAGAGCAAGCGGACCUCAUAAAGUACGUCGUAGUCCGGAUUGGAGUCUGCAACUCGACUCCAUGAAGUCGGAAUCGCUAGUAAUCGUAGAUCAGAAUGCUACGGUGAAUACGUUCCCGGGCCUUGUACACACCGCCCGUCACACCAUGGGAGUGGGUUGCAAAAGAAGUAGGUAGCUUAACCUUCGGGAGGGCGCUUACCACUUUGUGAUUCAUGACUGGGGUGAAGUCGUAACAAGGUAACCA